GGAGAGGUAGCGUAGUCUGGCCUAACGCGCGCGCCUGGAGAGCGCGUGUGCCGCAAGGCACCGCGGGUUCAAAUCCCGCCCUCUCCGCCU
rnacentral:tRNA from 1 species